CAACUUUUGACAAUGGAUCU
rnacentral:rRNA from 1 species